CCAGGGGUUGAGGUGACUGGCCAGUAUGAGAGGGAGAAGGCUGGGUUCUCAUGGAUCGAAGUGACCUUCAAGAACCCCCUGGUAUGGGUUCACGCAUCCCCUGAACACGUGGUGGUGACUCGGAACCGAAGAAGCUCUGCGUACAAGUGGAAGGAGACGCUAUUCUCAGUGAUGCCCGGGCCAGUUUUACCAGGAGGUGCUCUGGGGAUCUCCAGCAGCAUCAGAUGACGGCAGACGCACGCUGAGGGUUCAGGGCAAUGACCACUCUGCCACCAGAGAGCGCAGGCUGGAUUACCAGGAGGGGCCCCCGGGAGUGGAGAUUUCCUGCUGGUCUGUGGAGCUGUAGUUCUGAUGGAAGGAGCUGUGCCCACCCUGUACACUUGGCUUCCCCCUGCAACUGCAGGGCCGCUUCUGGGGCCUGGACCACCAUGGGGAGGAAGAGUCCCACUCAUUACAAAUAAAGAAAGGUGGUGUGAGCCUGGGA
rnacentral:lncRNA from 1 species